GAUGAACGCUGGCGGCGUGCCUAAUACAUGCAAGUCGAGCGAACGGACGAGAAGCUUGCUUCUCUGAUGUUAGCGGCGGACGGGUGAGUAACACGUGGAUAACCUACCUAUAAGACUGGGAUAACUUCGGGAAACCGGAGCUAAUACCGGAUAAUAUUUUGAACCGCAUGGUUCAAAAGUGAAAGACGGUUUUGCUGUCACUUAUAGAUGGAUCUGCGCUGCAUUAGCUAGUUGGUAAGGUAACGGCUUACCAAGGCAACGAUGCGUAGCCGACCUGAGAGGGUGGUCGGCCACACUGGAACUGAGACACGGUCCAGACUCCUACGGGAGGCAGCAGUAGGGAAUCUUCCGCAAUGGGCGAAAGCCUGACGGAGCAACGCCGCGUGAGUGAUGAAGGUCUUCGGAUCGUAAAACUCUGUUAUUAGGGAAGAACAAAUGUGUAAGUAACUGUGCACAUCUUGACGGUACCUAAUCAGAAAGCCACGGCUAACUACGUG
rnacentral:rRNA from 1 species